CGGCAAGUUGUAAAUUUUUCAUCCAUUUUCAUUUCCAAUAACUUAUCGUUUCUUUAUGUCAUUUAUUAAGCACAAGUAAUUUCCCCUAUGUUCUUGGUGUCAGUGUUUGUUGGCUUCUUAUGAUAUACAAAAAUAGGCUACUCUAAAUAUAAAUAGGAGUAAAAAAGGUUAGUAGUCAGGUUAAUGGGGCCUAGUGUUCGCGUGCUAUGCUGCUUUGUCUUAAUGCGCUAUUGUUAAGAGCCCCCUACCGCAAGGUAUCCUACGCCAGCGUCAGACGUCACUUGGGGAAACGUCAUUCUGAACCGCAACCACGCAGGCCCUAAGCAUGGCGCGGAGGCGUUAAUGAACCAAUUCCCCAAAGUAAAAUGCGCAUAAAUAUCGGAAAGUUAGGACCUGAACACAACGUACAGAUAUGACAGAAAACAUUUCUGUUACGUCGAAACAGAAGCAGAAACCGCUUUUUAGAGUGGCGCGGCCAGCUCGGUACUUUACAACAAGACCAUCGCUAUCACCUGCGUCUGCACAAAAAGCUGCGGUUGCCGGGAAUCCUGACAAGUCCGGGAUCGUUGAAAUCUAUCGCGUUUCACUCUUAAAGGCAAAGCUUAAGCGUCAGCCAAGUUUUGCAAGCGAAACUUGCAUUCGGUGGCGGUCUGCUCACGCAAAAACCCGGGUGCUCCCAGAGCAGAGCAGUUUUCACGAGUCGACAGCUGCUCCAGCGCCGAAGCGUGAGCAAGCAUUCCAGUUGCACAGGCACGCUCUCACCCCACGCGCGCAGCCAAUCAGAACCGUUUCGCUUCCGCCGAGAAGGGAAAGGGCAUGAAAGGGUUUCGCGCGGCUUCGUCUGCGUUCAGUUCAAUCUCGGAAAACGCGAUGGGACGGCCACGCGUUGUGCGUUCCUCAACGAAACAGGCAGCGUUCGACGUGCGACCAUAGAGUAAGGGAUUGAGCAAGAGCGGACACUCGGCGAAAAUCGGAAACAGGAAACACGUCACGCUAUAGUAUUAACAUCGACGAAUUGGGGCCGCGAGCAUCGAAAAAGAGAUGAAUGUGAAAUGAGAUUAACAGAAAUUUUUUUAUUCUUUCCCGGAAAAAUAAAAAUAUCUGCGUAUAAAUUAAAUUAAACUUUGCGGCUUACUUCCGUUGCCUAGCGACAGGCGAACCGGCGAAUGACGAGCCAGAUGUUUGCGUCAUUCGUCAGACACACCGCCGAAGCGAGAGAGACCGGUCGCGCAUCUGAGCGUUGGACUGUUCGGGCACCCGUCUGCCUGUUUUUCUAUUUUGGGAUUUAGCUUGGUUUGGAGGCCUCGCGGCAAAUUAUUGCGUUCAUUCGGAACUUCAAGCUCACGUCUUCUCGUGGAGCUUCCUGCGGAAACUACUGCUUACCUGGUGCCACAACGCUGGAUGAAUGCACAAAAAGCCUGCGACGAUCAUUUACAAAGAACAAAAUAAACGUUCAUUUCACAAGG